GGAGUGAAGUGGUUAUUCACAGGCAGGAUCAUAGCACACUAUAGCCUCAAACUCCUGGACUGAAGCAAUCCUCCUGCCUCAGCCUCCUGAGUAGCUGGAACUACAGGUGUGAGCCCCCAUGCUCAGCUUUGUUUCCUACUUUAAACACUUACCUUGAUGACUUUCUGGUUCACAAUCUCAGAGUUUUCAUCCCAUCUCUGAUCUUUCCUGUUCUCAAUAUUCUAUGACUAAAACUUUUAAUGGUGUUGGCUUUUUAUUUUUAUUUUACUUUUUUGAGACAGAGUCUCACUCUGUCCCUCAGGCUAGAGUAUUGUGAUGCAACUGUGGCUCACUGUGGCCCCAAGCUCCUGGGCUUGAACAAUCCUCCUGCCUCAGCCUCCCAAGUGUAGCUGGGACUACAGGCACACGCCACCAUGCCCAGCUAAUUUUUGUUUUUUUUAAUGUAGAGAUAAGAGUCUCACUAUGUUGCCCAGGUUGAUCUCAAACUCCUGGUCUCAAGAGAUCCUCCCACCUCAGCCUCCCAGAGUCAGAACCCAGAUCCUGGAACUCUUCUUUUCUUCUUCUAUACCACUGCUUCCUUGCAGAUACCAGGUUUCGCCAUGUUGACCAGGCUGGUCUCAAACUCCCAACCUCAAGUGAUCCACCUGCCUUGGCCUCCCAGAGUGCUGGGAUUACAGGUGUGAGCCACCAUGCCCGGCCUAAAAGGUAAUUUUAAAUAACUGGUCACACUCUCAGAUAAUUAACAAAACAUCUAAUUACCUUUAAUUACAUACCACAUAUAUGCCAAUAUACAAAAUUCAGGAAAGAUCUGCAUGAUUUUCACCCUUUAAAAAGAGUGAAUUUGACAAGGGCAGAAAGACUUCAUGUUUUUCCUUUUUCUUCCCGACCCCAUGCAAAGCCAGAUCAGUGGCAGAGAGGAACAAACUGAAACGAUUCAUCUUCAUUUCAAAUUCACAAAGUCCCAUUCACCAAUAGUGUUUUUAAAAGAUACCACAAACUUCAAAUCCAAACUCAGCACUGCUUAGUAACUGUCACUACAGCUUCAACUUUUAAAUGGGCUCAUAAAAUAAGGAUUCUGUCAUCAGUACACUAUUUGUUUCUUUGAGGUCCUUGGUGUUACUAGAUACUGAGGGGGUAGGCCCACAAGGUUAACACAGAUGUGCUACCUUUUAUAAUAUUUUGUUUUUGUACAGUUAAGCUUCAGAUUUCUUUCAGAGGCUUUUGAAUUGCCAAGGAAAGGCUCUAUUUCCUACAUCUGUGGUACGUCGUUAAGUUGCCACCUAACAUGAGGUUUGUGUUCCUAAAAUGCUCAAGGUGAGCAGUUGGAAUAUUUGUGCCUUUGGCAGAUAGGACAGCAAAAACAUCAUUUAAAAAAUACAUGGAUACAGUAGUUCAGUGGUGUGAGCCUAUAGUCCAAGCUAUUCAGGAGGCUGAGGCAGGAAGAUCCCUCAAGCCCAGGAGUUCGGGGCUGCAGUAAGCUCUGAUCACACCUAUGAACAGCCACUGUAAUCCUGCCUGGGCAACACAGCCAGACCCCAUUUCUUAAAAAAAAAAAAAAGAUAGAUAAAACCAUUUGCUAUUUGGUUUUGUAUUUUUGAUUGUUCACUGUGCAAAAUAUGGUUAUUUGAUAAUUGCUGCAAAUAUUGUCUUUACUACUAAAUAUGCCUUCAUGUACAUUUCAACAAGUGACUUCUGCUUGAAAACGAACUCUAUUGAGCAUAUUUCUCUGGAAAUCAAUAUUUAAGAAAUUUUUUUUCUUUGAAACUAACAUUCAAGAGAGACAGCUCUUGUUUACAGAGUAACUUAGUUUAGCAUUAUGGCUAACAAUGUUUAAAAACAGCUAACUUAAAAUGCAAACAUUUAAAUUCUGACGUUUAACUGUUGAGAGGCCAUGUCAGUCUACGGAAAUACACACAGCAUAAAAAACAGUAAUUUUUCCCCAGUUCUGUCCCUUGUAAGAAUAUUUCAAGCAACCAUUCUCUUAGAUUUAAAAAUAAGAACUCAUGAGGUUUUAAGACAGUUAAAAAUUUUAAAUGCCUAGAUGAACCUUGAAAACAUUUUGCUAAGUGAAAGAAUCCAGUCACAAAAGGAUGUGGGAUUCCAUUUCUAUGAAACGUCCAGACUAAGUAAAUCUAUACAAACAGAAUGUAUAUUUGUUGUUAUCAGGGGAUGGCGGGAGGGCAGAAUGCAGUGUAAGUGCUAAUAGUUACUAGGGUUUUUUCUUAAGCGAUGAAAUAUUCUAAAACUGAACUAGAUGGUUGCAACUCUGAACACAUUAAGAACUAUUGAAAAGUCAGUACACCUUAAAUGGGUGAAUUGUAUUGUAUGUGAAUUAUAUCUCAGUAAUUCUGUUAACAAAAAAUUAACAUGCCUGAUAACAUUCACAACAGCAUAUAAGGAAAUCAAGUUAAUCUCACAUAACUUCCAUACGAUGCUAAAACACAUAAUUCCCGACACCCUGGACUCCUUGUUUUAGACCACUUCUCAAAUCAACCAACAAUUGCCCUUCCUAACACCCAUCAUCAGCAUCGUCAUUCAUGUAUGCCUGCCCCUCUAGACUAUCAACUCUGUGAGGACAGAGACCAUGUCCUUCUUACACGGUGCUAUAAUCUCAGCACCUAGCACACACCCACCAAUAAACAUCUGCAGUAAGAAUUAAUAUAUGUAUGUAUGUACAUACAUCUGUAUGUAUGAAUGAAUGAAUGAAAUUACUAGAUUGGAGCAACUGAAUCAAUGAAGUACUUGUAUUCUACUUGUCCCCUUAAAUCUGUUUGUCAAUUCUCCCCAGGCUCCUGGCCACCUAGGUAGAGACACUUCCCAGCAGCCCUCAAAGUUUGCUGGGCCUUAUGACCACAAUCUUACCAGUUAAGUGACAAUGAGUGGGAUGUAUACAAUGUUUAACUCUUUUGAUCAAAAGAAAAUUGCUUGCUUUGGACAUCUCCAUAGUGCGGCAACAACAUAGCUUCAACCAUAUGAUAAAGACAAAGCCCCAAGGGAGGAGAGCACAGACGGAAAGAUCUGCCCAGACAAGCUACAUUGGUCUGGUUGUUUCACGAGAGAAGUAGACUUCUAUUUUAUUUAAGCCAUUUUACGCUGGGGUCUCUUUGUUACACCAGCCUAGUCUUUACCCUGACGGUUACAACCCAGGCAUGAGUGUACUGUAUGUGUGUACGGGGGAUCAGGGAGCAUUUCAAUGCUUAACUGAAUUGACUGAUCACAUUCCAGCCAAUGCGGUCAUCUGGUAACUCAGUAACGACUGCUUCCAGUGUCUUCAUAACAACUUCCUUAAUUAAUGGUCACAUAAUUCAAAUGCUAAAUACUCUAAAAAGGUAGUUUUGAAUGGGUUUAGCUCAGAAUUGCUGUGUCAUUAGGUAAAUGUUCAAAUCACUCACAUAUACACUUUUAAAGGAACUUAUAUUUCAAAUAACUGAAUAGCAUUUUAGCUUUAUUUUUCACCAAGAAAUAAUUUAUAAUAGGUAAGACACAAUGAAUGUUAUCUACAAGGAUGCAUUUAUAGUUCCUUCAUCUAACAUAAAACACCUUAAAUUAGGGAUGGAGUGGGGGGAAAAUUGCAAUGAUUCAACUUCCUUUUGAUUGUUUUUUAGUUUUCUCUCAAAUAACCUGACUUUAAAAAAAAAACUGAACCAAUACACAAAAUGUGAAGCUUGGAGAUGCCUAAUGUUUAAAACUAACCAUUUUAAUUGUAAUCUAUAUGGCCUUGAUGAUUAUCUUCAACUCUCAAUGCCAUUCAGAAUUGAAUAUAAGAUGAUGAAUUUUACAAAUUGGAUUUGAAUUUUAAGCAAAUGCAUGUGGGUAAAUUGUCAAUGGUGAGGGGAGGCAGGAAAAAAUGCCACAGAAACCUUUAUUAGAUCACCAAACCAAGGCAACCAUAAUAGAAUGACAUCUGUAUAAUUGUGACCAGUGCAUCCCUCUUUAGUUUCCAUCUUGACAUUCUGGAUGACCUUGGGUAAACUAUUUAUCAUCAACGGGACCGUUUUUCCAGUCUGUAAAGUGGGGAUUAUGAGAAUUGCCAGCUACCUCUUAGGAAUGCCAGCAACCAGAUCCAUUUUGUAAAGCACUCAGAUCUAGUUGGAAGAAAAUUGUUAUAUCACUCCCGAGUAUGAUGACUGUUAUUUAUGACUCUUCAGACCAUAGAAUCCAAAUUUUCAAAAUGGCUUCAUUUGGUUUUCUGAAUUU
rnacentral:lncRNA from 10 species